GAAGCAUACCGUAUGUACAGUACUUCAUUUUAUUCUUCUGACAGAAAAAAAAAAGAUAAACAACAGAGGAUCCAGCUCUGUACGAGCCACAGUGGGUUCACACGGCACACAUUUCUGGGGAAAUGGAAAUGAGAUCAUGGCAGAGAUUGGGCUCAUGAAAGGAGCGGGACUCUCGGAGAGAUGAUGACAGAGGCGGCAGGUUCCACUCUGAAGUGUAAACACUGCCUUUCAAGUGCUUCCACACACGGAGACGGCGCUGCUCCGUCCCAGCCCGGCUCGGCCCCUCGCUGAGAGACAGGCGCACACCUGAAAGCAGGGACGAAAUAAAGGCUGAUUGUUUUUCAGUGGCCUGCGCCAGCACUAGAAACCCUACACUCCCUCUACUCCGCUAGUCCUCUUGUUUACACUGCGCCCCCAGAGCUCUGGCACGGCUGUGGCGCUGGGGCCAGGCGAGGACCUCUGGUGUGCGAGGUCACUGUUGUUUUCCUUCUCUAGCACGCGAAGCGAGAGAGCGGCACUGGUUUCUGUGGAGAAACUCCUCCCUCCCAGGAGCUGUGAGAACGGAUCUCUUUUUCCAUGCCGCUGGCAGCCGAGGAGCCAGCAUUUUCUUAAAAUCUCUUCGAUAGAUGUGCAAAGUGAGAGGAAAACAAGGAGACAGUGAUGGGUGAAUGGAAGAGGUACACUACUAAAUAAAAGCAAACCACGUGGUGUCACCCAGGCCAAGACUGCUCAACGGACAAGGCCACAGGCACCACCUACCACUGGUCUGUACACCGACAGGGGAGCAGUGGAAAGGAUGUGGAAGUACUUUUAAACCUGGUAGAGGAGGGACUUCAUCUUAUACAAAGGGCUGUGGGAUUCUAGACCAAGCUGUGUAGCAAUGUUGUUGGAGCCUGCAACCCUGGUUUCUUUCAAGACAGGGAGGUGAAAUACUUGAAUCUGUAAAUUUUAAUCUACUUGUAUACAGAUUGCAAUCAAAGAACACAAUGCCUGAGAAUCUCUUAUUGAAAUGCACUCUCUUUUAUAUAAAAAGUCUAAACUUUCAAUCAAAAAAUUUCAUGAACUAUUAAAUGCAGGUGGGUGCAGGCUUUUCCUAUCUUUCUUUGAUAGCUAGCAGCUUCGCAAGCAAUAAAAUCCCAAUAGAGUUUUUAAUUGUGUGAAUAUUAAGAGCACUGUAUAAUUGCAUGUGUAAUCAUUUUUUUUAGAAACUUGUAUUUUGACAUAUAAGGGUAAAUAUAACACAAUGAAUGUGGGUGGGUGAAUGUUAUUUAUUAUUUAUACAGUAUAUACCACAUAAAUGCAGCAGAUCCAGAAAUCUGAAAUG